ensembl:lncRNA
GGGAGGUCUCUAGCAGCCGCACGGAGGUCUCUAGCAGCCGCACGGAGGUCUCUGCGGCCGCACGGAGCAGAUGAGCCUUCUUCCACUUACUGCCACGGCAGCCCCAGGUCCAGAUGCAAAGCAGGCCAGCUCUAUCUUCUGCUGGGUCUGAACAGUAAAUUGCAGUGAUGUUGGUUAAGUGUGCAGUGUCCUCUACUAGUAAUACAGAAACUCGAUUCCUGUGAAUACAGGUGGAAACAUCCAGAGGACCAGUUGGCUGCCUUUUGUGUGAGGAUUUACUUCUACAGGUUUCUGCUUCCUUCAUCAGUGUUUGAAGAGACGCACCCUGGCCUUCUUCCUCUGGUCCCUGAACGCACUCCACGGGUGGCACUGCGCUCUCUCAGGGGAGCCCCCCUUUCUCCCAGGGGAACAGGCUGCUUCUCCGGAGCCCAAGGGCAAAUGGGCCUGAGGGCCUGGCAUGAGCUGGCCACAGAUCCCCCUCUAGGAGGCUGGUGGGCCUGGUGGGGGCAGGUGUCCUGCUAACCUUGUGUACACACAAACAUAACCCUAUUUUGCAUUUGUGUUUGCAGCUUGAACCUCAGGUUUAAUAAGUAAUCAAAUAUUUUUCCCUUUCAAUGUGGAUUUUUAAAAAAUUUGAGGUAUGCCUCUGAAUGUGGAUUGGGUCUGGAUGUUUGUUGUUAUUUAGUUGAUAUUUGAAAGAUGUAAAGCCUAUAAAAUAAUGAUGACGCUAGCUGAUGUAAGAGAAACAAACUUUGAGACAUGUUUGCAGAAAGAAGGGAUUAAAAACUUCCAAGA